UCCCUGACAGUCCAGUGGCUAGGACUACAUGCUCUUAUUGAGGAAAACCCAGGUUCAAUCCCUGAUCAGGGAA
rnacentral:tRNA from 1 species